rnacentral:rRNA from 1 species
CUACUAAGACAGCCAGGAGGUUGGCUUAGAAGCAGCCAUCCUUGAAAGAGUGCGUAACAGCUCACUGGUCAAGUGGUCCUGCGCGGAUAAUGUAACGGGGCUAAGCUCAGCACCGAAGCCAUGGGUUCAUCCCGCCAUCGGCGUGGAUGAGCAGUAGGGGAGCGUUCUGUUUGCGUUGAAGGUCGACCGUGAGGACGGCUGGAGCGAGCAGAAGUGAGAAUGCCGGCAUGAGUAGCGUAAAACAUGUGAGAAUCAUGUUCGCCGUAAGUCCAAGGUUUCCGACGCAAGGGUGUUCCACGUCGGGUUAGUCGGCCCUAAGCCGAGGCCGAGAGGCGUAGGCGAUGGAUAUCCGGUUAAUAUUCCGGAACCACCUUAGAUGAGCGAAGGGGUGACGCAGAACGGUAGGCCAGCCGGCCCAUUGGACAUGGUCGGUGCUAAGCGCGUAGGCGUUGAGACCCGUAGGAAAAUCCGCGGGUUGAGCUGAGGCGCGAUGGCGUGGCCCAGAGCCAGAAGUGGCCUAGCCGAGCUGCCAAGAAAAGCCUCGUAGUGUUGAAUCUCAGGUGACCGUACCGUAAACCGACACUGGUAGACGAGUAGAGAAUACUAAGGCGAGCGGGAGAACCUUCGUUAAGGAACUAGGCAAAAUAGCCCCGUAACUUCGGGAGAAGGGGCGCCCUCUAGCGUGAAAUGCAAACGCAUCUAGCGCGAGGGGGCCGCAGUGAAAUGGCUCUGGUGACUGUUUAACAAAAACACGGGUCCCUGCUAAAGCGUAAGCUGAUGUAUAGGGGCUGACGCCUGCCCAGUGCCGGAAGGUUAAAGUGAGGGGUCAGCCUCCUUCGGGAGGCGAAGCUCUGAGCUGAAGCCCCGGUGAACGGCGGCCGUAACUAUAACGGUCCUAAGGUAGCGAAAUUCCUUGUCGGGUAAGUUCCGACCUGCACGAAAGGCGUAACAACUGGAGCGCUGUCUCAACGAAGGACUCGGCGAAAUUGAAGUAUGCGUAAAGAUGCGUAUUACCCGCAGCAGGACAAAAAGACCCCGGCAGCUUUACUAUAGCUUGGCAUUGCGUUUGGACUUAGUUUGUCCAGGAUAGGUGGGAGGCUGUGAAACUGGAGCGCCAGCUUCGGUGGAGCCAUCCUUGGGAUACCACCCUGACUGAGUUUAGACCCUAACCCCAGACCGUCAUCCGGCUGGGGAACCGUGCCAGGUGGGUAGUUUGACUGGGGCGGUCGCCUCCUAAAAGGUAACGGAGGCGCCCAAUGGUUCCCUCAGCGCGGUCGGUAAUCGCGCGUAGAGUGUAAAGGCAUACAGGGAGCUUGACUGCGAGACCUACAAGUCGAGCAGGUGCGAAAGCAGGGCUUAGUGAUCCGACGGUUGCGUGUGGAAGCGCCGAAGCUCAACGGAUAAAAGGUACUCCGGGGAUAACA